AUGCAGACCCUCUUCUGCAACAUCCGCGGCUUCGGCCAAGAUGGCCGUCGCCGCCAACUCAUCGAGUACAUGCGAGAUGAGCGGAUAGACAUCGUGGCAAUCCAAGAAACCAUGCGCACAGAGUUCUCCUUGUCUGAGCUUGAGCGAUUGAGCACCCACCUAUUUGCUUGGCAUUGGCUCCCUUCAAGUGGGAUCGCCCGGCACUCGGGUGGCAUCCUGCUAGGUGUUAAGGAUGCCACCUUUGAGGUGGGUGGUAUGGAUAGGGGUGAGUUCUACGUCAGUAUGGAGCUGUUCGAACGUGCUCUCAACUUCAAGUGGGAGAUCAUUAUCGUCUAUGGCCCCGCUGACCACCGCCGAUCUGAGUCCUUCCUUGAUGAACUUAAGACGAAGGUGUCGGCCGCGCGUCUGCCCGUAGUAGUGGGUGGCGACUUCAACCUCCUCCGAUUUGCGGAGGAUAAGAGCAACGAUCUAGUAAACUACCCUCGGAUGCAAAUGUUCAAUGAUUGCAUCGCUGAGCUCGGUCUCCGGGAAUUAGAUAGGGUUGGUGCCAGAUUCACCUGGACCAACCGCCAGGCGGACCCGACCCGCUCCGUUCUGGAUCGCGUCUUGGUCUUGCCGGAGUGGGAGCUUCGCUGCCCCCUCGCCUCCCUCCAAGCCAUCACCCGGAUUGGCUCGGACCAUGUCCCUCUGCUCAUGUCUUCUCAGGACGACUGCCCGCCCCCUACGCCUAGGUUUCGCCGAGGCCGUUCGUGA
rnacentral:rRNA from 1 species